UGCCAGCCGCCGCGGUAAUACGGAGGGGGUUAGCGUUGUUCGGAGUUACUGGGCGUAAAGGGCGCGUAGGCGGUCUUUUAAGUUAGGCGUGAAAGCCCCGGGCUCAACCCGGGAACUGCGCUUAAAACUGGAAGACUAGAAAACGGAAGAGGGUAGUGGAAUUCCCAGUGUAGAGGUGAAAUUCGUAGAUAUUGGGAAGAACACCAGUGGCGAAGGCGGCUCACUGGCUCGAUACUGACGCUGAGGUGCGAAAGCGUGGGGAGCAAACAGGAUUAGAUA
rnacentral:rRNA from 1 species